GAACCCAAUUCCCGCCCUCAAUUCCAAACCUAGCUGUAUAAAUAAAAUUUCUCCCAAUUCCUGAAGCCAUACGCCAUAUCUAUUUUAGGCUGCAGAUCCGGGAACCGGAGAAUUCGCCAUUGGGAGAAGCAACCUUUUUCUUCAACAAUUUUAUUGUUUCCACGCUCAUGACGGUGUUUUGCUUCAAAUAUCCAGAUUUGAUAGACAUUUGAAAAUAAGGGUUCGGAGGUUAGGUUUUUACGGAGUUUCUGGACCUCGACAUCUCUAAAAUACUCUGAUGGGAAGAUUUAAGCCAGGCCGUCAGCCUUCAUGUUUGGGUUCUUACAGCUUGUGGUGUUAUUGUGGGGUUCUGAGGGGAAGAAGAGCUCAGCGAUGCUGUCCUCCCUUGGCCAAUCCUUGCGACUGAAUACUACUUGUAUGACAACUGGAGGGUAAUUUUACCUGUAGAGUUCGUCAGAAAGGUUAGAUAGAGAAAUUUAAGGAGACUAGAACCUAAGGAGAAGGAUGAUGGUGAGCACACUGAGCUGGAGGACACAAAGGAUGAAGAAGGCAAUGACACUGAGGCUCCGCAUUCAAAAUUUGCUGGUAAAAAGAAAGGAAAGGCCAAGAAAGAUGGAAGCAAUAAUGCAUUGAGUGCUUCAAGUUUUGGUUUGCUUGGAGAAGGAGAUGAGGAUAAUGAAGAUUCAGGAAUAACAAAGAGAAUGUUGAUUAUGAAAAAUCAGGAUAAUGAAGUAGCAGGUUUUGCACCUUGUGAGAAGCAAAUUACUGUUCUUCUUAAAGUUGGAAAGGACGAGAGAGCACUGAAAGUGGCGAAGAGGAAGUUGGGCACCCACAAGAGAGCAAAGAAGCGUGAAGAGAUGGCAUUUGUUCUCCGGAAGAUGAGGUGAAUGCCAGUAAUAUACAGGAGGGCUGCUGGAGGUGGAGAAAAGAACUAAGUAAACUGCUGCACUUGGAUUUCUCGUUUUGAUUUGAUCAUUUGGAGAAGUUUUUCAUUGAAGGUUUUGCUAAACAUUUUGGUCACGUGGGCUUAUAAUUGUGAUUAUGAAAUGUAGUGAGUCGUACACUUAGCCCCCGUUUGGCCCCCAUUCUCCCUUUCAUUAUUUUUCUCUCUUUUAUUUUCAACCAUACAAUUUUUAAUAAAAUAAUGUUACAUG